GGAUCCAGACUUUGAUCAUGGCUCAGAAUGAACGCUGGCGGCGUGCCUAACACAUGCAAGUCGAACGCGAAAGUCCUUCGGGAUGAGUAAAGUGGCGCACGGGUGAGUAACACGUAGGUGACCUGCCUUUUAGAGGGGAAUAACCAGAAGAAAUUUUGGCUAAUGCCGCAUACGAAGUACAAAUCUAAGAGUAGUACUUGAAAGGAUGCCUCUGUAUAUGCAUUCACUAAAAGAUGGGCCUGCGGUACAUUAGCUUGUUGGUGGGGUAAAGGCCUACCAAGGCAACGAUGUAUAUCCGGUCUGAGAGGAUGAUCGGACACACUGGAACUGAGACACGGUCCAGACUCCUACGGGAGGCAGCAGUGGGGAAUAUUGCGCAAUGGGGGAAACCCUGACGCAGCAACGCCGCGUGAGUGAGGAAGGACUUCGGUCUGUAAAGCUCUGUUAAUGUGGAAAAAUGGUAGCUGGUCUAAUAGGCCGGCUAUUUGAUGGUACACAUAGAGGAAGCACCGGCUAACUUCGUGCCAGCAGCCGCGGUAAUACGAAGGGUGCAAGCGUUGUUCGGAUUUAUUGGGCGUAAAGCGCGCGUAGGCGGACCUGUAAGUCAGAUGUGAAAUCUCGGGGCUCAACCUCGAAACUGCGUCUGAAACUGCAGGUCUAGAAUCUUGGAGGGGGAAGGGGAAUUUCGCAUGUAGGGGUAAAAUCCGUAGAUAUGCGAAGGAACACCAGAGGCGAAGGCGCCUUCCUGGACAAGUAUUGACGCUGAGGCGCGAAAGCGUGGGGAUCAAACAGGAUUAGAUACCCUGGUAGUCCACGCUGUAAACGAUGAAUACUAGGUAUUGGAGGAUUUGACCCCUUCAGUGCCGUAGCUAACGCGUUAAGUAUUCCGCCUGGGAAGUACGGUCGCAAGACUAAAACUCAAAGGAAUUGACGGGGGCCCGCACAAGCGGUGGAUUAUGUGGUUUAAUUCGAAGCAACGCGCAGAACCUUACCUAGGCUUGAAAUCCCACGAACCUGCUUUAAACGGCGGGGUGCUCUUCGGAGAAUGUGGUGACAGGCGCUGCAUGGCUGUCGUCAGCUCGUGUCGUGAGAUGUUGGGUUAAGUCUCGCAACGAGCGCAACGC
rnacentral:rRNA from 1 species